rnacentral:tRNA from 1 species
AAUGAAGUGCCUGAGCAAAGGGUUAUUUUGAUAGAAUAAAUCACGUAAAAUUUAAUUACCUUCAUUA